GACAGAGGGUGCAAACGUUGUUCGGAAUUACUGGGCGUAAAGCGCGUGUAGGCGGCUAAGUAAGUCGGGCGUGAAAUCCCACGGCUCAACCGUGGAAGUGCACUCGAAACUGCGUAGCUAGAGUCCUGGAGAGGAAGGUGGAAUGCUUGGUGUAGAGGUGAAAUGCGCAGAUAUCAGGAAGAACACCCGUGGCGAAGGCGGCUCUCUGGAACGCAACU
rnacentral:rRNA from 1 species